UGCAGUGAGCAUUCAAAUUUAUAUAGUCUGUACCUCAUUGUUGUGGGCAGGUUGUGAGUGCGCAGCCGCUGUGUACAAUUCUCUGCUGAUGUCUGCAGCUACACUCUCCAAAGGAGAACCUUAAGGUAGUUCUGGGCUCAAAUAAACCCAGAUGUUUAAUUUUCUUUUACUUAAAUUCAUUGCUGUCCCAAGCAUAAUGAUAAAGACCCAGAUCAGUUGAUUAUUUUGCAGGACACAUUAACAUACAGUGAAGAAAAUGAGUAUUUGAACACCCUGCAACUUUGCAAGGUCUUCCACUUAGAAAUCACGGAAGGGUCUGAAAUUUUCAUCUUAGGUUCACUGUGUGAGACAAUCUAAAAAUAAAAAAAUCCAAAAAUCACUGCUUAUGAUUUUUCUAAUAAUUUAUUUCUGUGUUACUGCUGCAAAUAAGUAUUUGAACACUUGUUAAUCAGCAAAAAUCCUGGCCCUCAAAGACCUGUUGUUUCGCCUCCAAAAAGUCCACCUCCACUCCACUUAUUAUUCAAAAUUAGAAGCACCUGUUUGAGGUCGUUAGCUGCAUAAAGACUCCUGUCCACUCCACACAAUCAGUAAGACUCCAACUACUAACAUGGCUAAGACCAAAGAGCUGUCCAAAGACACCGAGACAAAAUUGUAGAACUCCACAAGGCUGGAAAGGGCUACGGGGCAAUUGCCAAGCAGCUUGAUGAAAAAAUAUUGACUGUCGGAGCAAUUAUUAGAGAAUGGAAGAAAUUAAAUACGAUUGUCAGUCUCACUUUGACUGGGGCUCCAUGCAAGAUGUCACCUUGUGAUGUAUCAAUGAUCCUAAGAAAGGGAAGGAAGUUGUUCCCCAAUGUAGGAGCUAUUUCUUUAUUUUCAGUUAAAUCUUAUAAUUUAUUUUUAUUUGCUUAUUUUCUUGAUAACUAGAAUU